rnacentral:tRNA from 1 species
GGCGUUGUGGCUCAGUAGUAGAGCUCUUGCCUAGCAUGCAUGAGGUACUGGGUUCGAUUCCUGGCAGCACAU